UGAGUAACACGUGGGCUAUCUGCCCUGCUUACUGGGACAAGGCCUGGAAACGGUGUCUAAUACCGGAUACUGAUCCUCGCAGGCAUCUGCGAGGUUCGAAAGCUCCGGCGGUGCAGGAUGAGCCCGCGGCCUAUCAGCUAGUUGGUGAGGUAACGGCUCAACAAGGCGACGACGGGUAGCCGGCCUGAGUAGGCGACCGGCCACACUGGGACUGAGACCCGGCCCAGACUCCUACGGGAGGCAGCAGUGGGGAAUAUUGCACAAUGGGCGAAAGCCUGAUGCCGCGACGCCGCGUGAGGGAUGACGGCCUUCGGGUUGUAAACCUCUUUCAGCAGGGAAGAAGCGAAAGUGACGGUACCUGCAGAAAAAGCGCCGGCUAACUACGUGCCAGCAGCCGCGGUAAUACGUAGGGCGCAAGCGUUGUCCGGAAUUAUUGGGCGUAAAGAGCUCGUAGGCGGCUUGUCACGUCGGUUGUGAAAGCCCGGGGCUUAACCCCGGGUCUGCAGUCCAUACCGGCAAGCUAGAAUUCGGUAGGGGAGAUCGGAAUUCCUGGUGUAGCGGUGAAAUGCGCAGAUAUCAGGAGGAACACCGGUGGCGAAAGAGGAUCUCUGGGCCGAUACUGACGCUGAAGAGCCAAAGCGUGGGGAGCGAACAGGAUUACAUACCCUGGUAGUCCACGCCGUAAACGGUGGGCACUAAGUGUGGGCAACAUUCCACGUUGUCCGUGCCGCAGCUAACGCAUUAAGUGCCCCGCCUGGGGAGUACCGCCGCAAGGCUAAAACUCCAAAGGAAUUGACAGGGGGCCCGCACAAUCGGCGGAAUCAUGUGGGCUUAAUUUCGACGCCACGCGAAAGAACCUUACCAAGGCUUGACAUACACCGGAACAACCCUGGAGACAGGGGUCCCCCUUGUGGUCCGAGUAACAGGUGGGGGCAUGGCUGUCGUCAACCUCGUGUCCUGAGAUGUUGGGGUUAAGUCCCGCCACCCAAGCGCGAACCCUUGUUCCCUUGUUGCCAACCAA
rnacentral:rRNA from 1 species